CCUACGGGAGGCAGCAGUGAGGAAUAUUGGUCAAUGGACGCAAGUCUGAACCAGCCAUGCCGCGUGCAGGAAGACGGCCCUAUGAGUUGUAAACUGCUUUUGUACGAGGGUAAACGCAGAUACGCGUACCUGUCUGAAAGUACUUUAUGAAUAAGGAUCGGCUAACUCCGUGCCAGCAGCCGCGGUAAUACGGAGGAUUCGAGCGUUAUCCGGAUUUAUUGGGUUUAAAGGGUGCGUAGGCGGUCGGAUAAGUUAGGUGUGAAAGCCCGAGGCUCAACUUCGGAAUUGCCUCUGAUACUGUCAGGCUAGAGAGUAGUUGCGGUAGGCGGAAUGUAUGGUGUAGCGGUGAAAUGCUUAGAGAUCAUACAGAACACCGAUUGCGAAGGCAGCUUACCAAGCUACUUCUGACGUUGAGGCACGAAAGCGUGGGGAGCAAACAGGAUUAGAUACCCCUGUAGUC
rnacentral:rRNA from 1 species